rnacentral:rRNA from 1 species
CAAACGGGUGCGGAACACGUACGCAACCUUCCUUUAACUGGAGAAUAGCCCCUCGAGAGAGGGAUUAAUACUCCGUAACAUAUUGAUAAGGCAUCUUAUUAAUAUUAUAGCUCCGGCGGUUAAAGAUGGGCGUGCGCCUGAUUAGAUAGUUGGCGGGGUAACGGCCCACCAAGUCUGCGAUCAGUAACUGGUGUGAGAGCACGACCAGUCACACGGGCACUGAGACACGGGCCCG